UACGUAGGGUGCGAGCGUUGUCCGGAAUUAUUGGGCGUAAAGGGCUCGUAGGCGGUUUGUCGCGUCGGGAGUGAAAUCCACUGGCUUAACUGGUGGCUUGCUUUCGAUACGGGCAGACUGGAGGUAUGCAGGGGAGAACGGAAGUUCCUGGUGAGCGGUGAAAUGCGCAGAUAUCAGGAGGAACACCGGUGGCGAAGGCGGUUCUCUGGGCAUGUCCUGACGCUGAGGAGCGAAAGCGUGGGGAGCGAACAGG
rnacentral:rRNA from 1 species